CUUGGCUUCCCCGUGUUGAGGA
rnacentral:miRNA from 1 species